CAAACCUCUUUCUAACUUUUAGGCUACAGUUUAAAAUAAAAAUUUUCUCCAAAACUCACCAAGACGCAGCUGGCCGUGCUCUCUCUCCAAUGCAACUCAUCUAUUCAGCUUGCAGCCAAUACCUUAAAUGCUUUACUGCAUUAAAAGUUCUCCUGCACUUCAACCAACAUCAUUAAUGCAUCAACCUUUUUUUCAAUGAUUUCCAAAUUCCCCUUUAGUUUUUUACCCAUAUUUUUACCCAUCACUUUUUACUUAACAAAAUUAAAUCUGCUCUCCAGUCACUGCUCUUAUCUUGAGGCCCACGCACAUGGAGAAAUUCACACCAUCCUGGAGACACGCACACACCCCAGCAGAAAUACACACGCAGACACCCAUACUAUGCAGAGCCGCAGGCCCCACCAGUUUCUCUUGUAGCACACUCACACAGCAUAUAUCCCGACCAAGGUACUUUUUAUCAGUUGGAUUAAACGGUAUAAUUCAACAUAGAAAAAACAGAAAACGGCCGAAUCCGUGUAUCAUUCGUUCUUUCUAUUUUCAAUUGCAGAUCAAAAAACAAAAAAUAAAAAAUGGACUGAAUCCGUGUAUCAUUCGUUCUUUCUAUUUUCAAUUGCAAAUAAAAAAAUAAAAAAUGGACUGGUUAGUUUGUUUCCUAUGGUUAAACCAAAAAUGAAAAAAGGAUUGUUUUUUAAUCCGUGUAUCUUUCGUUCUUUCUAUUUUCAAUUGCAAAUCAAAAAACAAAAAAUGGACUGGUUAUUUUGUUUUUUAUGGUUAAACGAAAAACAAAUUGGUUUUUCAUAUUUCAAUGCUAAGCUCAGAUCGAAAAUACGAAAUCAAAAAACGGACACCAAGGCAGAAUUUGAUUUUAAUAUUUAAUAGGUAGGGUUUACGUGACCCGGAAAUAGCUCUUUGCGCGGCAGUUAGGGUAAUGAAGUGGCUACCAUGGCGGCGCUAGAGCCACACACUAGGUUGAUUGAGGAGUUGUUUAACAGCGGUUUGACACACACUGAAAUUUCCAACACAUUGCAGCAGAUGGGCAUCGGGAAAUGCUCUAAGAUGAGCGUCAGAAGAGUCUGUGCUAUGCAUGGUCUGAGGAGAAACGGAUCUGUUUCAGAUUGUUAGCUAGAUAGCGCUUUGAUUCAAUCUGUAAAUGAGGUAAGCUGCCUUUCAGAUUUCAUUAUCAUAAUCAUCCAGAUCUCCACUGUAUAUUUUAAAUAAUAUAUUUAUAUCACACACCGACAGUAAAUGUGUUAUUCUGUGACAGACUGGACCAUCAUAUGGCAGGAAGUUCAUGACCGGCUAUCUGUCUUCACUGGGGCUGCAUGCGGGAGAGGGUCGGGUUGGAAAACGCCUAAGAGAGCUCCAUCAGCCAUACCAUGAAUUCUGACGUCAGGGUGCUCGUAAUUUAAAUCCUACUCCGUACCAUGCUGAAUAUAUGGGCCAUAAACUUCAUUUAAACCAAAAUGAAAAGCUUGGGAUGUUUGGAGUUACACAUGUGUUGGCUGUUGAUGGCUACAGCAGCAAAAUUGUUGCACAUUCAACCAUGCCCAUCAAAAACAACCUUGUGAUUUACAAGGAUGUAUAUAGAUCUGCAGUCGUGAACCAUGGCAUGUGGGACCAAGUUCGGGUUGAUCACGGCAGGGAGUUCAACCUGUGUCUUUACAUGCAGGAGAGACUGUCAAGAUACAGACACAAUCUCAGCUGGCCACCAUACCUCCAAACCAGAUCAACAAGGAACCUUCGGGUGGAGAGGUUAUGGCCAGAGGUGAACAAUCACGUGAACUACCCACUUAAACGGGCUCUGGUGCACCUGCUGGACCAAGAGGUUGUGAACAUGGAGGAUAACCUCACUAGAUUCUGCAUCUCAAAUCUGACAUGUCAAGUAAGCCAAAUUGGACUUGACAGAGUUGUGCAUUCAUGGAAUGCACACAAGAUACCAGGUCGUGGAAUACCCAAUGAACUAGCAGCAGAUGGCUGCCUGGCUAGAGUGUCCGAGGAGCUGCUGCCAUGUGCUUCUGUUGUGGGAAACCUGUAUGAGCAAGACUUGGGAUCCUCACUAACUUGGGAGUCUGUAUUUGGAGCUGAUCCAUUUUCAUCUGAAGAAGACAGAUGCCAUGCAGAGCAGAUCUUUGCAGAGAACUACCCUGACAUCUCUCUCAUUUUUAAUCAUGUGGCAAACAAUGAUGAUACUCCUUUCCAAGAUGCUUUAAUCUUUUUAAUGAAUGUGACAGCAAGAUAUGUCUGAAAAAAUAAAAUGAUUUAGUUGUGUUCUCAAAAGUACUUUGAGUGCAUCAAUAAACGUUCCAAAAGAUGAAAACAGAUGAAGAACAGCAUGAACAAAACUAAAUACUGUACAGUUUUACUGGUACAGUAUGUUGUCCAGUGCAGCCAGUGCAUCAGACAAUCCAGUAAAAUUUUGUACAUUUUCACCAAAAUCAUCUGCUCGGCAUUUUGGGCAAAAUGCAGAAUUCUUCUGCCAUUGUUCAAUGCGGCUCCUGCAGCCCACAAUGCUAUGGCAACACAAAGACACCAUGGGCUCGACCAUUGGACCUGCAAAUUUGAUUCGGAAAUAUAUAUAUUUUAAAUUCAGUAACUGCAUGUGGUUACAUUAUUUUUUGCAUUGAAGUCUAUUCUCUUCAUGAACCUGGGUACGAGUUAUACUGACUCCUGCCUGCAGAAGACAAAACGUUUUAUUUACCAUUGCAGACAACACAGAAAAAGGCAUCUUUGACAGUAGCUGCUUCAGCCUCAGUCAAGGACACUGUUGUUCUUCGGUUGGAACUUGCCAGAUGUGUCAGCUCCUUAAAUGCAGCUUAAGCGAAAAUUCAAACUGAAGAAACUCUAUUGCCUACCUCCAUCAAUCAG